rnacentral:lncRNA from 1 species
CUGGGACUGAGUGGAAUAGAGUUCUUUCUAGGGGGACUGAGGAUCUGGGAAUCCUGGGGACUGAAAACCAGGGGCACUUGGGGGAUGGGGCCUGGGAUGUGAAGAAAAUCUAAGACUUUGACUCAGCAGAGCAGAUUACCGGGGUCUCUAAGGAAAGCUAUGCUCUGUUUAGAGGGUCUCUGAUUUAUAAGGUCGGUGCCUGUCAUUGUCUUCAAGCUAUUUUACAACUUUGUGUUUGUAGAUAACUAAUAGCAAUGUAAAUAAUUCUUUCCUAUAGACCAGAAAAUGAAUUCCAUCCCCUGGAGGUUCAAUUGAUUUCCCUCCCCUAGUUAUGGAAAAAGCCGGUUUUGUAUCCAUUUAUAAGUUAAUUUCAACAUUCCUUUAUUCCGCAUAGAUUUAUGAUUCUUAGACUUCUCCUCUGACGCAGUUAUAACAGUCCUGGAUCCCUUAUUAAUUAAUGACUUAAAUAAAAUCUUUGCCAUGCGUUCAUUUUAUAUCUGCAUAAGAGCUAUGAUUUUACCUUUCCUGAAAGUUUUCCUGCACAGUGUCGGACGGCUUCCACUGAGAUGCCACAGUUCACCUGACAGAGCGGGGCGGCCCAGUGUUUCGUUGGUUCAGAUCCUGGGCACGGACAUGGCACUGCUCAUCGAACCACGCUGAGGCAGCGUCCCACGUGCCACAACUGGAAGGACCCACAACGAAGAAGAUACAACUAUGUACCGGGGGGCUUUGGGGAGAAAAAAAAAAAAAAUUUUCUUUUUUUCCUUCUUCUCACAAAAGCCUCCCGGUACAUAGUUGUAUAUUUUCAGUUGUGCAUCCUUCUAGUUGUGGCAUGUGGGAUGCCGCCUCAGCGUGGCCUGAUGAGCAGUGCCAGGUCUGUGCCCAGGAUCCAAACCGGCGAAACCCUGGGCCACCGAAGCAGAGAGCACGAACUUAACCACCCGGCCAUGGGGCCGGCCCCUGGAUUGUUAAUCUUUAGUUUGUUUUUUAGCUAUUGUCAUUAAAGAGGCUGAUAGCCAAUUUGAGCUGGCAGAAGAAAGAAUCAGCAAAUUUGAAGACAGGUCAAUUGAGAUCAUCCAGUCUGAGGAAGAGAAAAAAAAAAUGAAGAAAAAUGAACAGAGUCUCAGAGUCCUAUGGGACACCAUCAAGCAUACCAAAUAUACACAUAAUGGGAGUCCUAGAAGGAGAGUAUAGAAAGUAGAAGAAAGACUAUUUAAAAAUAAUGGCUGCGGGCCGGCCCUGUGGCCAAGUGAUUAAGUUUGUGUGCUCCCCUUCUGCGGCCCGGGGUUUUGCCAAUUUGGAUCCUGGGCAUGGACAUGGCACCAUUCGUCAGACCAUGCUGAGGCAGCGUCUCACAUGCCACAGCUGGAAGGACCCACAACUAAAAAUGUACAGCUAUGUACCAGGGGGCUUUGGGGAGAAAAAGGAA